UUUUUGUAGAACGGGCCAACGAGUUACGUUAAGUAGCAAGGUUAAGCACUUAAGGUGCGGAGCCGUAGCGAAAGCGAGUUUUAACUGAGCGUUCAGUUACUUGACGUAGACCCGAAACCGGGCGACCUACCCAUGAGCAGGAUGAAGCGAAAGUAAAAUUUCGUGGAGGUCCGAACCCACGAGCGUUGAAAAGCUCGGGGAUGACUUGUGGGUAGCGGUGAAAUUCCAAUCGAGCCCGGAGAUAGCUGGUUCUCCCCGAAAUAGCUUUAGGGCUAGCCUCAAGGUGAGAGAUACGGAGGUAGAGCACUGAAUGUCCUAGGGGGUAUUGCACCUACCGAAGACUAUCAAACUCCGAAUGCCGUCAUCUUAUACUUGGGAGUCAGACUGUGGGUGAUAAGAUUCAUAGUCGAAAGGGCAACAGCCCAGAUCGUCAGCUAAGGUCCCUAAAUGUAAGUUAAGUGGUAAAGGAUGUGGGAUUGCACAGACAACCAGGAUGUUGGCUUAGAAGCAGCCACUCAUUCAAAGAGUGCGUAAUAGCUCACUGGUCGAGUGAUCCUGCGCCGAAGAUUUCCGGGGCUAAAACUUACUACCGAAGCUACGGCAUCAGUAAUGAUGGGUAGGGGAGCUUCCCAUACGGGUUGAAGCAUGACCGUAAGGACAUGUGGACAGUAUGGGAGUGAGAAUGUUGGCAUGAGUAGCGAGAUGUGGGUGAGAAUCCCACAGGCCGUAAACCCAAGGUUUCCAGGGGAAGGUUCGUCCGCCCUGGGUUAGUCGGGACCUAAGCUGAGGCCGAAAGGCGUAGGUGAUGGACAACAGGUUGAU
rnacentral:rRNA from 1 species